UACGAAGGGGGCUAGCGUUGUUCGGAUUUACUGGGCGUAAAGCGCACGUAGGCGGAUCGUUAAGUCGGGGGUGAAAUCCUGGAGCUCAACUCCAGAACUGCCUUCGAUACUGGCGAUCUAGAGUCCGGAAGAGGUGAGUGGAACUCCUAGUGUAGAGGUGGAAUUCGUAGAUAUUAGGAAGAACACCAGUGGCGAAGGCGGCGCACUGGUCCGGUACUGACGCUGAGGUGCGAAAGCGUGGGGAGCAAACAGG
rnacentral:rRNA from 1 species